AUGCUUGCUUCAGCAGCACAUAUACUAAAAUUGGAAUGAUACAGAGAAGACUAGCAUAGCUCCUGUGUAAGGAUGGCACACAAAUUCGUGAAGCAGUCCAUGUUUUU
rnacentral:snRNA from 1 species